rnacentral:tRNA from 1 species
AGGAUGGUAGUUAAAAAUAACACUUGGGUUGCAUUCAAAAAGUACUGAGAAUUUCAGUUCAUCUU